rnacentral:lncRNA from 1 species
GCUCUUGCUUGCUUGCACUGAUGAAGUAAGCUGCCACGUUGUGAGAUGCUCAACGAAGAGGCCCAUGAGGCAGGGCACCGAGGGAGGCUUCUGGCCAACAGCUCCUGGGGAACCAAGGCCUUAGGAAGUGAGUCCUGCCAACAAUAACGAGAGCCUUGAACUUUGAAACCACAGUACCUUGUUCCAGCGUGGAAAGCAGCGUGGCACUUCCCGGUGGUGAAAGCACCCCAGCUUGAAAGGGUGAAAACACCUUCUCCCAGAUAGUCUCCCUUUGUUUAGCCAGUGCUUUUGCCUUAAGGAAAUCAAAUGAAGGUAUGCUCCUUGGUUGGCUGCUGAAUCUGUCCUUCCUUGUCAGCUUUGCCCAGAGCAGCAGGCUUUGAGCUCUGGGAGGAUUUCCAGGUGGCAGCAGAACAACGGUCCCAUAGGCUGGAGCCUGGCACGCUUUCCCUUUUAACCAGUGGCAGAGGCUGCACUUUGCUGGUGUAAUUAUGCAACCUAGUGUAAAGUCCACAUGGGUGGGGAUAGGGGGUAGGCAAGGCAGGACUGUAAGCUGGCUCAGCACUCUGAUUGGGUUUUUUGACUGUUUUUCUAGCUU